rnacentral:rRNA from 1 species
UGGGGAAUAUUGGACAAUGGGGGCAACCCUGAUCCAGCAAUGCCGCGUGUGUGAAGAAGGCCUUCGGGUUGUAAAGCACUUUAGGUGGGGAAGAAGGUUGGUAUUUUAAGAGAUAACCAAUUUGACGGUACCCGCAGAAUAAGCACCGGCUAACUCUGUGCCAGCAGCCGCGGUAAUACAGAGGGUGCAAGCGUUAAUCGGAUUUACUGGGCGUAAAGGGCGCGUAGGUGGUUACUUAAGUGAGAUGUGAAAUCCCCGGGCUUAACCUGGGAACUGCAUCUUAUACUGGGUAACUGGAGUGCAGUAGAGGGUAGUGGAAUUUCCGGUGUAGCGGUGAAAUGCGUAGAUAUCGGAAGGAACACCAGUGGCGAAGGCGGCUACCUGGACUGAGACUGACACUGAGGCGCGAGAGCGUGGGGAGCAAACAGG